UGAAUAUACUUUAUUUUUAUGUAUGAAUAUUCUAAAAUAAAGAAUAAAGGGGAUUAGAUGCAACUAGACUCAGUACUCCUCAACAUUAGUCUUGGAAAGAAACAGGGUUUAUGUGUAACCUACCAUGUCUGACUCCCUGUUUUAUUUGGUAUUUCAGGAGAUGGUGCUUUCAGAGAAGAGCCAGGGGCUGCAGGAGGCCAUGAAUUUGCACUGGAUGUGACAGGCUCAGCAUGGUUUUGUAGAGAAACAGGGAUGUGGUGGUUGACGUCAGUGUGUCGCUGCGGCUCUGUGACUCGUUUGGGGACCAUCACAAGGACCGACGCUUUGCAUAUGACAGGUACCCCUGUUCUUCACAGUAGGAUUAGGAUUACCUCACGGUUAAUCUGCCCUCCAUGAAUAGUGGCUACCUGUCGUUCACUGCACAACUCUACAGUUGGAGACAACCAUGUAUCUGAAUAAAGCAUGCA